AGAGGCGGUCGCACAAGGCCGAGCUGGAGCACUAGUGGAGUUGGCGGGAAAGGCACGGCUGCGGGCGCCCCCUGUCCGCACGGAGGAGCCGAAGUCCCGCAGGGUGGGGUCCCCGCCUGCGCUGAGAUGGCCACCUGGUCGAGAGAACAGGCGAGACGGAAACCAGAGAAACUCCUCUGUCUGGUGCACCUAACCCUCUCCCUCGUAAAGUGCACACGAACUCUGAUUUUUUCCGUUGCAAAUUUUGCUUUCUACACAGACCAUACCACUCGUUGCUCUCUGAGGAUGAGUUCCUGGCUUCCCAGUCCAGCAGAAGUAUCUACAUCUAUUUCUGGAAAGGACUUGAACUUGGCUUCUCGUCCUUCUGGAAAUGAGGCGAAAAUGCCAGGCUGUGCAGCUAUCCUGAGGCCCGGCCUGGAACCUGGCUAGCCACCCAGUCCUGAUACCUCAUCUCCUUUCUGUUGGAUAAAGUCAUUGGAUAAGAUCCCCCAGGGUCUUCUUAAUACUGAACAUCUGUUCAUAAUCACGUAAGUGACCAAGUAUAGUGGAAAACCCGA
rnacentral:antisense_RNA from 1 species